UAUGAAUUGGAAAAUGAAGGGUCAUCAUUAUCAUAACCAAGUGAUGAUCUACUCUCUGCAUCAUUCCAUCGUGGAACUUGAUCCAAAGUCACAACAGAAUCCCCACUAGCAGUGGGUGAUCCACCCCGAGUUGUGGUAGCUGUAGCCCCACUCCAGUACAUAUUUGGAACUGCCAAUAACAAUCUCAGUCUCUAGUUGUUGGACAGCUUAAGCCAACAAUCCUUAGGUCCAAU
rnacentral:misc_RNA from 1 species